rnacentral:tRNA from 1 species
UCCCCUGGCAGUCAAGUGGUCAGGACCCUGCACUUUCACUGCUGAGGGCCCAGGUUCAAUCCCUGACUGGGUAA